UUCUCUCCUAGAGUGUCCACAUAGGAUGCCACAUAGAUAAUUCAGUUCAUGGUUUUUUGACACGUGUCCAACAGGAAAAUAGCAGCGUUUCAUUAAAAUUUAACAUCUUGGUCUCAUCCAACCCUACGGCUGCGACGAAGAACGUGGAAACGGCUGUAUUCAUAAGCAGAGGAGGAGAAGAGGCUUCGAUGGACGACGAAUCAUAUAUACUCCAUAUGCAUAUGGCUCAUCUGCCGUUGCGUCUCUGGCUUCACCGAUGCGUCUCCGGUUUCGCCGCUGCGUCUCCAAAUUAUCCCUCUUAGAUGAAUCUCCAAAGCGUCACGAAAACUUAACCGAAGGCGUCAAUCUUAAACCUGUUUCCUUCAUGUCUCAGUUCCAUAGAUCACGACCUGAUUGUAAUUUAUGCGCUUCUUGGGUUAGGUUCUAUCUCUGUGAGUUUUGUUUCUAACUCACAUUUAGAUUUGUAAAAUUGAUGUUUCAAUGAAAAUUUUGUUUUGUUCUUAGUGCAACAAGCGAACCUGGAACCAUUGCUUUUAUUUCAUUUUGAAUGGUGCUUGAUUUGUGAUUUGACGAGUGAUUAGAUAAAAGGAUGAAUGCUUUAAUCACUUUGUGUUUCCAUGGUCAUAUGUUUCUGCAAACGAAGAAGUAUUGUGUACUACUUUAUAUUAAGGAGAAAAUUUUGAAGAAGCUAUCUAAGCAGCAGCUUUAAGGUUUGCGUGUGUGGACCGUGGUCAGACAGAGAAUAGCUGUUGUAGUCAGACAGAGAAUAUAUGUUGUGUGAAGUGUCCAUUCUGUAGAAGAGGCAGAGACGGUGUCAGCAAUGUCGUGUAAUGAUUUUAAUUUCUCAAGGCUGCAACCAUGACUUGCCGGUAAGACAUACACCCAUAGAACGUUUCAUAUCUAUAUAGUGUUUGGCUUUGUGGUUUCUUAUAUCAAUGUUGAGAUAUCUCUUUGUGUUCUUUGUAUGUGUGGGCAUGAGUUUUGCUACUGUUGUGGAGUGGAGUACAGUGAAGGACAACAGAGUUGCACAUGUGCUUUGUGGUGGAUUGUUGCAGGAAGUUUACAGAGGAAAGCAAAAUACGGUAUGCUUGGAGCAAAUACGCUGAGCUAGAGAGGUCUCUUGCUGAGACUGAACUAGCUAGAACUAUCUUUGAGCUUGCAAUCUCUCAGUCAGCACUUGACAUGCCCUAACUGCUAUGGAAGACGUAUAUAGGUUUUGAGAUAUCAGAAGGAGAAUCAGAGAGGACGUGAGCUUUAUAUGAGCGACUAUAGGACCACACAAGGCAUUACAAGGUGUGGCGGUGUAGGUUAGUUUUGCAAAGUUUGAAGCUUAUGCUGCGGAUCAAGAAGAAGACAAGGAAGAAGAAGACAAGGAAGAGGAAGACCAAGAAGAAAUAGUUGCUAUUGAACUAAAAAAAGAGUGCAUCAGACGUGCCUGAGCUCUUUUCGAGAGAGCCAACAGCUACUACAAAGACUCUGCACCAGAGUUGAAAGAAGAAUGAGCUACACUAUUGGAAGACUGGCUUAACAUGUAGACCAACUUUGGUAAUCUCGAGGAUGUGAGUGUGGUACAAUCUAAUCUCCCGAAGAAUCCCAAGAAGAAAAAAAACAACCACUAGAGAAGAUGGGUCUACAGAGUAUGAAGAAUACAUUGAUUACCUAUAUCCAGAAGAAUCGCAGACAACAAAUCUCAAGAUUCUUGAAGCUGCUUACAAGUGGAAGAAGCAGAAACUUGCAGCUUCUGAGGAGGAUUACGAUUAUUACCAAGUUUCUUUUGAGUUAUAUCAAAACUGUGAGUUGAUAUUUUUUGGAUUGUGUUAAAACUCACUGUUAUUGUUGUUUGUUUAUUUUGGCAUUAGACCUUUAGGUUUGUGUUCUCUGUACAUCGCCAUUGUUGUUAUGUUAUAGUCACUAACAUGUAUCUAACAAUUGCUUAAACUUUUGGUUUGUCCUCCAUGGUGAUUUGAAUAAUGCUGAUUUUGGAAUAUUA